rnacentral:rRNA from 1 species
UACGUAGGGUGCAAGCGUUGUCCGGAAUUAUUGGGCGUAAAGAGCUCGUAGGCGGUUUGUCGCGUCUGCUGGGAAAACCCGAGGCUCAACCUCGGGCCUGCAGUGGGUACGGGCAGACUAGAGUGCGGUAGGGGAGAUUGGAAUUCCUGGUGUAGCGGUGGAAUGCGCAGAUAUCAGGAGGAACACCAAUGGCGAAGGCAGAUCUCUGGGCCGUAACUGACGCUGAGGAGCGAAAGCAUGGGGAGCGAACAGG